rnacentral:rRNA from 1 species
AUUGAACGCUGGCGGCAGGCCUAACACAUGCAAGUCGAGCGGAGCGGCGGACGGGUGAGUAAUACCUAGGAAUCUGCCUGGUAGUGGGGGAUAACGUUCGGAAACGGGCGCUAAUACCGCAUACUAUCAGAUGAGCCUAGGUCGGAUUAGCUAGUUGGUGGGGUAAUGGCUCACCAAGGCGACGAUCCGUAACUGGUCUGAGAGGAUGAUCAGUCACCCUGGACCUGAGACCCGUCCCGAACUCCUCGGGGAGGCAGAAGUGGGGAAUAUUGGACAUGGGGGGAAAGCCGGAUCCAGCCCUGCCGCGUGGGUGAAGAAGGUCUUCGGAUUGUAAAGUACUUUAAGCGGGGAGGCGUUACCGACAGAAUAAGCACCGGCUAACUACGUGCCAGCAGCCGCGGUAAUAC